rnacentral:sRNA from 1 species
UUUCCAUUCAUAGAGAGAUCCAAUCGUCAAAAUCAAUAAAAAGGCCAUCAUGGACCAAGAUCCAAACGGAUCAAUCUUGUUGGGAGGUACUGCCCAAGGA